rnacentral:rRNA from 1 species
CGUCAAAUCAUCAUGCCCCUUAUGUUCUGGGCUUCACACGUGCUACAAUGGGCGCAACAAAGAGAUGCGAAGGGGCAACCCGGAGCGGAUCUCAAAAAAGCGUUCUCAGUUCGGAUCGUGGGCUGCAACCCGCCCACGUGAAGUCGGAGUUGCUAGUAAUCGCGGAUCAGCAUGCCGCGGUGAAUACGUUCCCGGGCCUU